rnacentral:lncRNA from 1 species
UUGGUGCCUGUAUCUCUCCCCCUCCCCUCCCCGACCUAUUGCUUGUAGGUCUUGCCUUGCGGACUUGCACCAAUAUUUAUGCCCAAAAACUAGAAUGCCUUUUGAAGACCUCAUACCUUGAGCCUCCCUUUCAUCCCCCCUCUUCUACUGCACUUACCAGAUCUUUAUUGCGUUUCCGUUUCCCAACUAUCUCUAUAUCUCCCCAUUGUUUCCUCCCUCCCGAAAAGCUCUUAGCCAUCCUAUUCAGAACAAUCUCUUUUUUUGGCGUGAUUUGUACCCAGUUCCUA